CCUACGGGAGGCUGCAGUGAGGAAUAUUGGUCAAUGGGCGUAAGACUGAACCAGCCAAGUCGCAUGAGGGAUGAAGGUUCUCUGGAUCGUAAACCUCUUUUAUAAGGGGAUAAAGUGUGGGACGUGUCCUAUUUUGUAUGUACCUUAUGAAUAAGGAUCGGCUAAAUCCGUGCCAGCAGCCGCGGUAAUACGGAGGAUCCGAGCGUUAUCCGGAUUUAUUGGGUUUAAAGGGUGCGUAGGCGGCCUUUUAAGUCAGCGGUGAAAGUCUGUGGCUCAACCAUAGAAUUGCCGUGGAAACUGGCGGGCGUGAGUAUGUUUGAGGCAGGCGGAAUGCGUGGUGUAGAGGUGAAAUGCUUAGAUAUCACGAAGAACCCCGAUUGCGAAGGCAGACUGCCAAGCCAUGACUGACGCUGAUGCACGAAAGCGUGGGUAUCAAACAGGAUUAGAUACCCUUGUAGUC
rnacentral:rRNA from 1 species